AGCGUUGUCCGGAUUUAUUGGGUUUAAAGGGUGCGAAGGCGGCUUUGUAAGUCAGUGGUGAAAUACUCCAGCUUAACUGGAGGGGUGCCAUUGAUACUGCGGAGCUUGAGUACAGAUGAGGUAGGCGGAAUUGACGGUGUAGCGGUGAGAUGCAUAGAUAUCGUCAAGAACACCGAUAGCGAAGGCAGCUUACUGGGCUGUAACUGACGCUGAUGCACGAAAGUGUGGGGAUCAAACAGG
rnacentral:rRNA from 1 species